UUUAAAAUGGGCAUCCCAUGAUCCUCUGAUCAUCUAUUGAGACUUAGUUAAGAGGUGAAUAUGAUCUUACUGAAAAGAGUUUACAAUCUCUGAGAUGGGCUUAGAAUUUAUGAGAGCUAUCUAUUUAUUUGAUUUGAAUAUGGUUAAUUCUGCAAUCCUAGUGGCAUUCGUGUUCCAACCCACUAUCCCCGUGGUUGGGGGUAACAUUUCAGCUGAGUUACCCCUCAUGGCUAUUGUCACUAUGCCUAUAUACUAGAGUCAACUGAGCAUUGUUCUAUCUUGUAGACUCUUGAUAAAUAUUCCUGUCUACCACGGUCACUAUGUCCACCGCAAGAUCCCUGCUACUCCCCCAUGCUAUACUAUGAGAAACCGUGCCUAAAAUGUAUUGUAUACGCACUCUUCAAAACUAAAGAGCGAC